rnacentral:rRNA from 1 species
GACGUAGGGCGCGAGCGUUGUCCGGAUUUAUUGGGCGUAAAGAGCUCGUAGGCGGCUUGUUACGUCGACUGUGAAAACCCGCGGCUCAACCGUGUGGUCUGCAGUCGAUACGGGCAGGCUAGAAUUCGGUAGGGGAGACUGGAAUUCCUGGUGUAGCGGUGAAAUGCGCAGAUAUCAGGAAGAACACCUAUGGCGAAGGCAGCUCUCUGGGACGGUACUGACGCUGAGACGCGAAAGCGUGGGGAGCGAACAGG